CACGUGAUCAAGCUGAACCAUUAAACGUAUCGAUGACACCAAGCAGAUUCACUGGAAAGUGUAACAGAGGAAACGGAUUUUCAUUGCCACAGAUUACGUAAGCUGAACCCGGAUUUUCAUCACUAUCCAUAGCUUAAGCCGGACAUGAUCGCUAAGACACUUGGGAAACAUGAGAGAUACUCAAACGACAUGAGAGUUUGGUGAGGUUCACAUUCCGCGAGAAUAGGAAAAAGUUCCUGAAAUGGCUUGAGAUUUCGACUUGUUCAAAAGUGCAAUUAAACUUGAUUUCAACGUUCAGACGUUGCCUGUAACGUUUAAACGUUUUCUUUCAAUGUUUAAAAGUUUGAUUGUUAGCUUGCUUUGUGUGUGGCGUUGAUCAACAGAACAUAAGUGCCAACAAUCUAGGUAAGUGUUCUGUUAUUUGCAAUCACAAGUACUGUAUUGUUAAUUAGACCACAAAUAAACCACUUUAAUGAAUGUUUGGAAAA